rnacentral:tRNA from 1 species
AGCAAAGAAGUAAAAAAAAAUUACACUUAGUUUCGACCUAAGACUUAGGGAACCCUCCUCGUGCUU